rnacentral:rRNA from 1 species
AACGAACGCUGGCGGCAUGCCUAACACAUGCAAGUCGAACGAGACCUUCGGGUCUAGUGGCGCACGGGUGCGUAACGCGUGGGAAUCUGCCCUUGGGUUCGGAAUAACAGUUGGAAACGACUGCUAAUACCGGAUGAUGACGUAAGUCCAAAGAUUUAUCGCCCAAGGAUGAGCCCGCGUAGGAUUAGCUAGUUGGUGAGGUAAAGGCUCACCAAGGCGACGAUCCUUAGCUGGUCUGAGAGGAUGAUCAGCCACACUGGGACUGAGACCCGGCCCAGACGCCGACGGGAGGCAGCAGUGGGGAAUAUUGGACAAUGGGCGAAAGCCUGAUCCAGCAAUGCCGCGUGAGUGAUGAAGGCCUUAGGGUUGUAAAGCUCUUUUACCCGGGAUGAUAAUGACAGUACCGGGAGAAUAGGCUCCGGCUAACUCCGUG